ensembl:lncRNA
CCCGAGCGCACAGUGGAGGACAGACAGCGGGCUCCGUGCAGAACAAAGAGGUUCUGUGGAGCAGCCCGAGCAGAGGGCAGCGCUGGGGAGGGAGCACUCAGAGAGAAAGGGAGCCCUCGGAGCGUGGGCCGGCCCGCCCGGAAGUGCAGCGCAGCGGCAUCGAAGGUCUCCCUAAGGCAGCGAGGAGCCAGCGGGUGGGGCGCCAGGAGGCUGGCACGACCCCUGGGAGGCAGGCCAGAAUAUUCUAUGGCAAUUAGAAGGAUGAGAUGGUUGGAUGGCAUCACUGACUCGAUGGACAAGAGUUUGAGGUCCUCUCCUUUCUGCUGCUGCUGCUGCUGCUGCUAAGUCACUUCAGACGUGUCCGACUCCGUGCGACCCCAGAGAUGGCAGCCCACCAGGCUCUCCCAUCCCUGGGAUUCUCCAGGCAAGAAUACUGGAGUGGGUUGCCAUUUCCUUCUCCAAUGCAUGAAAGUGAAAAGUGAAAGUGAAGUCACUCCGUCGUGUUUGACUCUUAGCGACCCCAUGGACUGCAGCCCACCAGGCUCCUCCGUCCAUGGGAUUUGCCAGGCAAGGGUACUGGAGUGGGGUGCCAUUGCCUUCUCCACCUCUGCUUUCUAAGGAGACCUGGAGCUGAUCCCUGGGUUGGGAAAAUCCCCUGGAGGAGGAAAUGACAACCCACUGCAGUGCUCUUGCCUGGAGAAUCCCAUGGACAGAAGGGUCUGGCGGGCUACAGUCCACGGGGUCACAAAGAGUCAGACACGACUGAGCGACUUCACUUCACUUCACUUUCCCCUCUGGUGACCGGAAGUUUUUUUCCUAUGUCUGUGAGUCUGUUUCUGUUUGAGUUAUAUUUUAUUUUUAAUUAAUUAUGAGAAAACUACAUCUUUAUAAUAAUGAUUUUUUACAUUUGGGAACAUAGCGUACCUUUCCAUUUCAUUAAAUGAAAAUGUUUUGGUUGUUUGUUAUGAGUUCUGUAUGCUUCUUAAAUUUAUUCCAAGACAAUUUAUAUACUAUAAUGAAUAUGAUAUUUUUUCCCUUUAAAAUUUCCAACCAGUGGUUGCAAACAGGUAGAACACCUCCUGGUUAAUGUUUUUCACC